rnacentral:rRNA from 1 species
AGUUAUUGGGUAUCAAAACCUAAUAGCGAAAUUAACAUAACUUUUUAUGGGAUUAGUUUUUAGAUUAUUUAUAGUCUAUUAAUUCAAUCCCGGGGCGUUCUAUAUAGUUAUGUAUAAUAAUAUUUAUAUUAUUUAUACCUCUAACUAGAGCGUACCUUGAGCAUAUAUGCUGUGACCCGAAAGAUGGUGAACUAUACUUGAUCAGGUUGAAGUCAGGGGAAACCCUGAUGGAAGACCGAAACAGUUCUGACGUGCAAAUCGAUUGUCAGAAUUGAGUAUAGGGGCGAAAGACCAAUCGAACCAUCUAGUAGCUGGUUCCCUCCGAAGUUUCCCUCAGGAUAGCUGGUGCAUUUAAAUAUUAUGUAAAAUAAUCUUAUCUGGUAAAGCGAAUGAUUAGAGGCCUUAGGGUCGAAACGACCUUAACCUAUUCUCAAACUUUAAAUGGGUAAGAACCUCACCUUUCUUGGUAUGAAGGUUGUGGUUGUGAUAUAAUGUGCCCAGUGGGCCACUUUUGGUAAGCAGAACUGGCGCUGUGGGAUGAACCAAACGUAAUGUUACGGUGCCCAAAUUAACAACUCAUGCAGAUACCAUGAAAGGCGUUGGUUGCUUAAAACAGCA